GACGUCAAGUCCUCAUGGCCCUUACAUCCCGGGCUACACACGUGCUACAAUGGCAGGUACAGAGGGCUGCGAAGCCGCGAGGUGGAGCGAAUCCCAGAAAACCUGUCUCAGUCCGGAUUGAAGUCUGCAACUCGACUUCAUGAAGGCGGAAUCGCUAGUAACCGCGAAUCAGCAGGUCGCGGUGAAUACGUUCCCGGGCCUU
rnacentral:rRNA from 1 species